GACAGAGGGUGCAAACGUUGCUCGGAAUCACUGGGCGUAAAGGGCGUGUAGGCGGGUAGAUAAGUCGGGCGUGAAAUCCCUAGGCUCAACCUAGGAACUGCACUCGAAACUGUUUAUCUUGAGUGCCGGAGAGGAAAGCGGAAUUCCGAGUGUAGAGGUGAAAUUCGUAGAUAUUCGGAGGAACACCAGUGGCGAAGGCGGCUUACUGGUCCAUUACUGACGCUGAGGUGCGAAAGCGUGGGGAGCAAACAGG
rnacentral:rRNA from 1 species